rnacentral:misc_RNA from 1 species
GAGAGAGAAAGAUUAAUUGAGAAAGAAGGAGAAAGGCGGAGAGAGAAAUGAGUAUAACUCAAUUAUCAUCAUCACUCCCAUUAGCUUAUGGUUGCCGCUAUUGUGCGCCUUCUCUUGUACUCUACUCCAAUCUCCCCUCCUCUCUCCGCCACCGCCGCCGUCUUCCCACUGCCCUACCUCCGACCACUUCUUCCGUUCCUAAAACAACCACCACUAUCAUUUCCUUCUUACCUCGAUUUCUAGACCCUCAUUUCGUCACGGGUAAUUGUCUUCUUUCCAGGAUGGAGAGGUUCUGGACUGGAAGUGGGAUAGGUACAAACAAAGAAAUGGUGGAGAAGCUCCACAACUUUGGAGUGAUUAGGUCAAAGAAGGUUUCUGAAGUAAUGGAGAGCAUUGAUAGGGCCUUCUUUGUGCCGGAUGAUAUUCCACCUUAUGUUGAUACUCCUGUGCCAAUAGGCUAUAAUGCCACUAUAUCUGCUCCUCACAUGCAUGCUACUUGCCUUCAGUUAUUGGAGAAACACUUGCAACCUGGAAUGCGGGCUUUGGACGUUGGCUCAGGAACGGGAUAUUUGACUGCAUGCUUUGCGUUAAUGGUUGGACCUGAAGGUCGUGCAGUUGGUGUAGAACAUAUUCCUGAGCUGGUUGCUUCCUCAAUGGAGAAUAUUAAGA